rnacentral:rRNA from 1 species
CGCCUUUCGAUAGAUAAACAUGAAAGGUACUGCCUGCCCAGUGAUAAUUAAUUUAACGGCCGCGGUAUUAUGACCGUGCAAAGGUAGCAUAAUCACUUGUCUUUUAAAUCAAGACCAGUAUGAACGGCAAAACGAAAGCCUAACUGUCUCCUUAAGCUAGUCAAUGAAAUUGAUUUUCUCGUGCAGAAGCGAGAAUAUAAAUAUAAGACGAGAAGACCCUGUGGAGCUUUAAAAUAAUAUUAUAUAAGCAUCUUAUAAUAAUCUUAAGUUUAGGUUGGGGCGACCAUGAGGUAAAAUAAAACCCUCAAGACAAUAACUAGAAGUACUCUUCAAAUAAAAAGUAAUACCUACAUAUGACCCAAUAAUGAUCAACGAACCAAGUUACCCCAGGGAUAACAGCGCAAUCCAUUCCUAAAGUUCAUAUCAACGAAUGGGUUUACGACCUCGAUGUUGGAUCAGGACACCCCAAUGGUGCAACAACUAUUAAUGGUUCGUUUGUUCAACGAUUAAAGUCCU